GUGUUCAAGUCCAUAAUCAUAUUUAGGGAGAUUCCUCAUUAAUUGCUUUCACUCAAAACACACAAGUAGAGCCUGGAAUGGGUCAAACUGGUACACAAUCAGUGGAGCUCAGUAUAACCACAGUGGAGUGUACUGGUGUGAGUCUGCAUCAGGACAGGAGCGCAGUAAUGCUGUCAGCCUAACUGUGUCAUGUAAGUCAUUUACAUUAUAGAUACUAUUCUGACAAUCUUUGGACAAUCCUCAACUCUGAUUGGCUGAGACGGUAUUGUAAGCUACUGAUUGGCUUGCUGAUUUGAGUAAAGCUGUCUCUGGAUCUCCAGUCAGUUUGAAUUGAUGCUGCUCACAUUGCUGUUUUCAAGUAACAAAUGGUGGGCAUAUUUGCAUAUUUAAAUAGCUUUAAAAUGACUGAAUAGCAAACCUAGGACUAGCCUCCCCCAUCCCCCUGAACUCUUUCUGUCUUUUCAGAUCAAUGGGUGAUCCUGCAGACUCCCCUCCAGCCUGUGUUUGAGGGAGACACUCUGACACUGAGGUGUCGUUUCCGAUAUAAUUCUCAUGUUACCAAAGUUGUCUUUUAUAAAGAUAAUAAAGAGAUACAGUCCCAGGCUGACACAGAGCUGAGUGUGGAUUAUGUUUCAAAGAGUGAUGAGGGGUCCUACAAGUGCACAGCCUGGAGGUUGUACUCCCCUUACUCUGGUGACUCUGCAGAGGUGCGGGUGACAGUAAGAGAGGGACGACCAAAGCCAGCACUGUCCCGGGAGGGGAGAGGAGGAGAAAUAUUUGAAUUAGACACAGUCACUCUGAGCUGCUCUGUUCAGGCAUAUUCUAGUGGCUGGAGCUAUCUCUGGUACAAAGACAGGCAGGGAGCUCCAGUGUACCAGACUAACAGCAGCAGUGGAACUGGAGCCGGAUACACAAUCAGUGCUGCUGCUCUGUCCCACAGUGGAGAGUACUGGUGUCGAGCUGGACGGGGCAGGAACACGUUUUACUCUGAAUACAGCGAUCCCAUCUGGGUAAAUGUAACUGGCAAAACGAUAAGGAGCCUCUAUACUCCAGCACUGCCUCUGUCUCUCUAAGGAGCCUCUAUACUCCAGCACUGCCUCUGUCUCUCUAAGGAGCCUCUAUACUCCAGCACUGCCUCUGUCUCUCUAAGGAGCCUCUAUACUCCAGCACUGCCUCUGUCUCUCUAAGGAGCCUCUAUACUCCAGCACUGCCUCUGUCUCUCUAAGGAGCAGGGGGCUCUGAGGGAAUCCCACUCUAUGGAAGAUGCUGGUUCUGAUUGGUUUGAAUAUCUUGGUCAGACAGCUUCACAAUCACUAACCUGUCUUCAUGUCAUCUUUUCGUAGCUCUGUUCUCCAGGGUGACUCUGACAGCAUCUCCAGGAGCCACAGUGAAGGAGGGAGAGGCUCUUAACCUGACCUGUGAGGCAGCAGUGAACAAAACCCCCCGCCCUCAACUCCACUACACCAUUGUGAGAGACGGGGAGCCUGUGACUAACAGCACUGACUCUGCACUGUACAGCAUAGCCAGCACUGAGAAGAGCCACACUGGGAGCUACACGUGUGCUGUGGAGUCACAGGGAGUGAAGAAGAGCAGCCAGGAGCUACACAUUGAAGUGCAAAGUAAGAUUACAAACACCUCCUAAAUGACUGUCCUUGAUGAUUGAAAGUGAUCUCACAGUAAAAUAGGUCACUUUGUGAUCCCAUUAUAUUCCCAUUCCCUGAAGAAACAGAAUAAACAGACCACAGAAUUACCAGCAAUUACAACACAAUGGAUUGGGA